CUGUAAGGGACAUUAGAAAGAUUCUGAAGGAAAACAAACAAACACACUCAGUUACUACAUGCAGAUUAGGUGUAUGUAAAUACGUGCUAUGAAGGCAAUAAGAAAAAAAGACCAAGAGCUACUGAAAAACAACAACAAGAACAACAACAACAAACAACAACAGAAAAUUCAGUCUGAAUUUCAGUUCUACCUGUCAGAGGGCACCAAGCUGUUCCUUACAGGAGCAAUGGUGAUGGUGUAGCAUUUCCUGAAAAGAAGAGAGUUGACUGUCAAUGCAAAGGAGGAAGUUUUGUUUUUGGCAAUGAAGAUAGAUGAAUCAGAACAAGGGAGGGAAGGAGAAGAAUAAAGGCAGAGGAGAGUGUCUGGAUCUGAAACGA
rnacentral:lncRNA from 1 species